UAAAUGGUCCUUUUCAGGGCCACAAAUUAUCUUAAAACUAAAGGAA
rfam:Apis mellifera strain DH4 linkage group 7, whole genome shotgun sequence.